rnacentral:rRNA from 1 species
UGGGGAAUUUUGGACAAUGGGCGAAAGCCUGAUCCAGCAAUGCCGCGUGUGUGAAGAAGGCCUUCGGGUUGUAAAGCACUUUUGUCCGGAAAGAAAUCCUUGGCUCUAAUACAGUCGGGGGAUGACGGUACCGGAAGAAUAAGCACCGGCUAACUACGUGCCAGCAGCCGCGGUAAUACGUAGGGUGCAAGCGUUAAUCGGAAUUACUGGGCGUAAAGCGUGCGCAGGCGGUUUGCUAAGACCGAUGUGAAAUCCCCGGGCUCAACCUGGGAACUGCAUUGGUGACUGGCAGGCUAGAGUAUGGCAGAGGGGGGUAGAAUUCCACGUGUAGCAGUGAAAUGCGUAGAGAUGUGGAGGAAUACCGAUGGCGAAGGCAGCCCCCUGGGCCAAUACUGACGCUCAUGCACGAAAGCGUGGGGAGCAAAACAGGAUUAGAUACCCUGGUAGUCCACGCCCUAAACGAUGUCAACUAGUUGUUGGGGGAUUCAUUUCCUUAGUAACGUAGCUAACGCGUGAAGUUGACCGCCUGGGGAGUACGGUCGCAAGAUUAAAACUCAAAUGAAUUGACGGGGUCAUAGCUGUUUCCU